rnacentral:rRNA from 1 species
CCCUUAGAUGUUCUGGGCUGCACGCGCGCUACACUGACGCACGCAACAGGUGCCUGCUCCGAGAGGACUGGGUAAUCAUUUGAGUGUGCGUCGUGAUGGGGAUAGAAUAUUGUAAUUAUUACUCUUCAACGAGGAAUUCCUAGUAAGCGCCAGUCAGCAGCUUGCGCUGAUUACGUCCCUGCCCUUUGUACACACCGCCCGUCGCUCCUACCGAUGGGUGAUCCGGUGAAUGAUUCGGACUUCAGCGGCUCCCCUGGGGUGCGCCGGAGAAAGUUUUGUGAACCUUAUCACUUGGAGGAAGGGGAAGUCGUAACA